rnacentral:rRNA from 1 species
AUCCUGGCUCAGGAUGAACGCUAGCUACAGGCUUAACACAUGCAAGUCGAGGGGCAGCAUGGGAGUUGCUUGCAAUUCCUGAUGGCGACCGGCGCACGGGUGAGUAACGCGUAUCCAACUUCCCCUUAGUAGGGCAUAGCCCGGUGAAAAUCGGAUUAAUACCCUAUGUUCUUCACAGCAGACAUCUAACGUGAAGCAAAGGUUUACCGCUAAGGGAUGGGGAUGCGUCUGAUUAGGUAGUAGGCGGGUAACGGCCCACCUAGCCUUCGAUCAGUAGGGGUUCUGAGAGGAAGGUCCCCCACAUUGGAACUGAGACACGGUCCAAACUCCUACGGGAGGCAGCAGUGAGGAAUAUUGGUCAAUGGGCGAGAGCCUGAACCAGCCAAGUAGCGUGCAGGAUGACGGCCCUAUGGGUUGUAAACUGCUUUUAUAUGGGGAUAAAGUUCACCACGUGUGGUGUUUUGUAGGUACCAUAUGAAUAAGGACCGGCUAAUUCCGUGCC